UGGAAGAAAAUUAUGUGUCCACCCUGAAAACGACAAAUAUGAUUAUCAUGCUUGAAUGCUUUUACAAUUCCCAAAAUAUAAACAUAAUGACAUCUGGAUAUAUUAAAAAUCUUCCAUUCUACAUAGCAAAAAAGUUUUAACAUCUACAAACAAUCAUCACUUGUUUAAAGGGAAAAUGCCACCGAAAUAAAAAUUUAGAAGCUUGUCCACCUUAAUAACUUACAGCAUGUGCACAUGUGCUUGCAUGUGUGCACUCACAUGAGAGAGAGAGAGAGAGAG
rnacentral:misc_RNA from 1 species